AGACUUUGAUCCUGGCUCAGAACGAACGCUGGCGGCAGGCCUAACACAUGCAAGUCGAACGCUUCAGCAAUGAAGAGUGGCAGACGGGUGAGUAACGCGUGGGAACCUUCCCAGUGGUACGGAAUAGCCCAGGGAAACUUGGGGUAAUACCGUAUAAGCCCUUAGGGGGAAAGAUUUAUCGCCAUUGGAUGGGCCCGCGUCGGAUUAGCUUGUUGGUGAGGUAAAAGCUCACCAAGGCGACGAUCCGUAGCUGGUCUGAGAGGAUGAUCAGCCACACUGGGACUGAGACACGGCCCAGACUCCUACGGGAGGCAGCAGUGGGGAAUAUUGGACAAUGGGCGCAAGCCUGAUCCAGCCAUGCCGCGUGAGUGACGAAGGCCUUAGGGUUGUAAAGCUCUUUUGGCGGGGACGAUAAUGACGGUACCCGCAGAAUAAGCUCCGGCUAACUUCGUGCCAGCAGCCGCGGUAAUACGAANGGAGCUAGCGUUGUUCGGAAUCACUGGGCGUAAAGCGCACGUAGGCGGAUUUGUUAGUCANGGGUGAAAUCCCC
rnacentral:rRNA from 1 species